AUUGCCUUAGUACGGCGAGUGAAGCGGCAAAAGCUCAAAUUUGAAAUCUGGCACCUUCGGUGUCCGAGUUGUAAUUUGAAGAAGGUAACUUUGGAGUUGGCUCUUGUCUAUGUUCCUUGGAACAGGACGUCACAGAGGGUGAGAAUCCCGUGCGAUGAGAUGCCCAAUUCUAUGUAAAGUGCUUUCGAAGAGUCGAGUUGUUUGGGAAUGCAGCUCUAAGUGGGUGGUAAAUUCCAUCUAAAGCUAAAUAUUGGCGAGAGACCGAUAGCGAACAAGUACAGUGAUGGAAAGAUGAAAAGAACUUUGAAAAGAGAGUGAAAAAGUACGUGAAAUUGUUGAAAGGGAAGGGCUUGAGAUCAGACUUGGUAUUUUGCGAUCCUUUCCUUCUUGGUUGGGUUCCUCGCAGCUUACUGGGCCAGCAUCGGUUUGGAUGGUAGGAUAAUGACUAAGGAAUGUGGCUCUACUUCGGUGGAGUGUUAUAGCCUUGGUUGAUACUGCCUGUCUAGACCGAGGACUGCGUCUUUUGACUAGGAUGUUGGCAUAAUGAUCUUAAACCACCCGUCUU
rnacentral:rRNA from 1 species